AGCUGUGUUUAUAGAGAAGGUGAUAUACCUGUUUCCAUUCCGAACACAGAAGUCAAGCCCUUCAUCGGUGUUGGUACUGCAGCCUUAGCUGUGGGAGAGACACACAAUGCAGCUU
rnacentral:rRNA from 1 species